UGAAGUAACAAUGUUUAUUGUAACACCAGGGGCAGGCAAAUGACAGGUCAAGGCAGGCAGUCAGGCUCAGGGUCAGGGACAGGCAUAGUUCAGUAUCCAGAGAUGGAGCAAAGGUACCGAAAGGCAGACAGGGUCAGGGACAGGCAGAGGUCAAAUAUCCAGAGGUGGGACAAAGGUACCGAACGGCAGACAGGCUCAGGGUAGGCAGAGGUCAAAUAUCCAGAGGUGGGACAAAGGUACCGAAUGGCAGACAGGCUCAGGGUAGGCAGAGGUCAAAUAUCCAGAGGUGGGACAAAGGUAAAGGACGGCAGGCAGGAUCAGGGUCCGGGACAGGCAGAGUAGUCAGGCAGGUGGGUACAAGGUCAGGACAGGCAAGGGUCAAAAACCAGGAGGUAGAGAAAAAGACAGGUAGCUGACAGGACGCACCUUGGUAAGCUUGACAAACAAGAUGAACUGGCAACAGACAAACAGAAAACACAGGUAUAAGUACAAAGGGAUAAUGGGGAAGAUGGGCGACACCUGGAGAAGGGUGGAGACAAGCAGAAAGACAGGUGAAACAGAUCAGGCCGUGACAAACUAUAGUUUUGGCAAGUCGGUUAGGACAUCGACUCUGGGAAACACAAAGUACUACGUAGAGCCAUGCCAUGACUACAUGGAACUCUAUUCCACAUCAUGUAACAGUCAAGCAGUAAAAUCAGAUUGAAAAAACAGAUAAAACUACAAAUCAAAUCAAAUCAAAGUUUACUUGUCACUUGCGCCGAAUACAACAGGUGUAGUACAUGCAGGUCAACUUACAGUGAAAUACUUACUUACAGGCUCUAACCAAUAGUGCAAAAAAGGUGUUUGGUGAACAAUAGGUAUGUAAAGAAAUAAAACAACAGUGAAAAGACAGGCUAUAUACAGUAGCGAGGCUAUAAAAGUAGCGAGGCUACAUAUAGACACCGGUUAAUCAGGCUGAUUGAGGUAGUAUGUACAUGUAGUUAUGGUUGAAGUGACUAUGCAUAUAUGAUGAACAGAGAGUAGCAGUAGUGUAAAAGAGGGGUUGGUGGGUGGUGAGACACAAUGCAGAUAGCCCGGUUAGCCAAUGUGCGGGUGCACACCUUAUGGAACAUUGCGGGCAGGCACACACACACAUGCUAAAACACGCACUCUACACACAUACACUGCUAUUUUGCUCUAUUAUUUAUGUUGUAUUGUAGAUAUGUUAUGGAAGAGUGGUGUGUAAUUACGUGUUUUGUUAUGUACUGUUUUAUUGUAUGUAAUUGGUAAUCGUGGUUGGGCCCAAGGAAUAGUAGCUGCUGCCUUGGAAGGAGCUAACGAGGCUCGGAAUAAUUCUUAUUUUUUGAGUGGGGUGAGAGAAGUCCAUGUAAAAAGAGAAGGAGAUCUAAUGGCAGGCAGUCGUCCUUACGCCCUAAAACAGUCGUUUGGAAGAGAGGGUCUUGGUGAUUUGGAAGUUGAGCAGAGCCCUGUUCUGCGGUGGCCUUUCCUGAUCCUUCACUGACUCCAGCAGGAUGGUGAUCAGCUCCGGUCACAGGUGUGGACAGUCCAGACAGGCUACCUUGGCUAUUAGCACCGCUUCCUGGGAGGCUAU
ensembl:lncRNA